CGUAGAAUCAUGUUUAUGGAAAUAACUAUGUACGCAAUGGCUUUGUUUGUCACUGCUUGGGGAGUUUUCUUUUCGUGCAGAAGGUUUAAAAUGAUUCUCCAAUAUUUCUUGGGUCAGCCAAGGGACCAAAAGCCUCAAGAAGACACGCAUCCAAAUGAAGAAGAAAAAUGGGAAUGAGUUUUUCUUUUACUACUGCGUUAUGCAAGUUGCCAUCCAUACCGUCAGUGUGGCUGUUUCAUUCGGUACACAGGAACCUAUCUGCAAUUACUGGUGGAUUAGUACAGACAAAUCAGUUCCAUGGAAAAGAGAUUCCCCUUGGCAUCAUUUCUUUGCAAUAUACGUU